AUUGAACGCUAGCGGGAUGCUUUACACAUGCAAGUCGAACGAGUGGCGGACGGGUGAGUAAUAUAUCGGAACGUGCCCCGUAGCGGGGGAUAACUACUCGAAAGAGUGGCUAAUACCGCAUACUAUUGAAGCGGCCGCUAUCGGAUUAGCUAGUUGGUGGGGUAAAGGCUCCCCAAGGCAACGAUCCGUAGCUGGUUUGAGAGGAAGACGGGCCACACUGGGACUGAGCAACGGCCAAGACUCCUCCGGGAGGCAGCAGUGGGGAAUUUUGGACAAGGAGGGAAACCCUGAGCCAGCCAUCCCGCGUGUAUGAGAAGGCCUUGGGGUUGUAAAGUACUUUUGGCAGAGAAGCGGUAUCUGCAGAAUAAGCACCGGCUAACUACGUGCCAGCAGCCGCGGUAAUAC
rnacentral:rRNA from 1 species